rnacentral:autocatalytically_spliced_intron from 1 species
AAGAGCCGGGUGCGGGAAAGCCGCCUGCGCGGAUCUGUGAGGGCAAAGCCAUAUGCCGAGAUACUCGAC